rnacentral:rRNA from 1 species
UACGUAGGGGGCGAGCGUUGUCCGGAAUUAUUGGGCGUAAAGGGUGUGUAGGCGGCUUUGCAAGUCAGAUGUGAAAUACCACGGCUUAACCGUGGAACUGCAUUUGAAACUGUGUAGCUUGAGUACAGGAGAGGAAAGUGGAAUUCCCAGUGUAGCGGUGAAAUGCGUAGAUAUUGGGAGGAACACCAGUGGCGAAGGCGACUUUCUGGACUGUAACUGACGCUGAGGCGCGAAAGCGUGGGGAGCAAACAGG